AAACUAUAAUGUGGACAUCUCUUUAGAAGUUCGCCAAAGCGCUCAUAUGUCUCAAAUAGAGAUUUAGACUCACAUUGUUGAAAAUUAGAUAUCUCUGUCAUUAGUUU